UGCAGUCGAGCGGUAACAGGUCUAGCUUGCUAGACGCUGACGAGCGGCGGACGGGUGAGUAAUGCAUAGGAAUCUGCCCGGUAGUGGGGGAUAACCUGGGGAAACCCAGGCUAAUACCGCAUACGUCCUACGGGAGAAAGGGGGCUUCGGCUCCCGCUAUCGGAUGAGCCUAUGUCGGAUUAGCUAGUUGGUGAGGUAAUGGCUCACCAAGGCGACGAUCCGUAGCUGGUCUGAGAGGAUGAUCAGCCACAUCGGGACUGAGACACGGCCCGAACUCCUACGGGAGGCAGCAGUGGGGAAUAUUGGACAAUGGGGGCAACCCUGAUCCAGCCAUGCCGCGUGUGUGAAGAAGGCCUUAGGGUUGUAAAGCACUUUCAGCGAGGAAGAACGCCUGGCGGUUAAUACCCGCCAGGAAAGACAUCACUCGCAGAAGAAGCACCGGCUAACUCCGUGCCAGCAGCCGCGGUAAUACGGAGGGUGCAAGCGUUAAUCGGAAUUACUGGGCGUAAAGCGCGCGUAGGUGGCUUGAUAAGCCGGUUGUGAAAGCCCCGGGCUCAACCUGGGAACGGCAUCCGGAACUGUCAAGCUAGAGUACAGGAGAGGAAGGUAGAAUUCCCGGUGUAGCGGUGAAAUGCGUAGAGAUCGGGAGGAAUACCAGUGGCGAAGGCGGCCUUCUGGACUGAUACUGACACUGAGGUGCGAAAGCGUGGGUAGCAAACAGGAUUAGAUACCCUGGUAGUCCACGCCGUAAACGAUGUCGACCAGCCGUUGGGUGCCUAGCGCACUUUGUGGCGAAGUU
rnacentral:rRNA from 1 species